GACGAACGCUGGCGGCGUGCUUAACACAUGCAAGUCGAACGGAAAGGCCCUGCUUUUGUGGAGUGCUCGAGUGGCGAACGGGUGAGUAACACGUGAGUAACCUGCCCUUGACUUUGGGAUAACUUCAGGAAACUGGGGCUAAUACCGGAUAGGAGCUCCUGCUGCAUGGUGGGGGUUGGAAAGUUUCGGCGGUUGGGGAUGGACUCGCGGCUUAUUAGCUUGUUGGUGGGGUAGUGGCUUACCAAGGCUUUGACGGGUAGCCGGCCUGAGAGGGUGACCGGCCACAUUGGGACUGAGAUACGGCCCAGACUCCUACGGGAGGCAGCAGUGGGGAAUAUUGCACAAUGGGCGGAAGCCUGAUGCAGCAACGCCGCGUGCGGGAUGACGGCCUUCGGGUUGUAAACCGCUUUCGCCUGUGACGAAGCGUGAGUGACGGUAAUGGGUAAAGAAGCACCGGCUAACUACGUG
rnacentral:rRNA from 1 species